rnacentral:rRNA from 1 species
GCGUGCCUAACACAUGCAAGUCGAACGAGAAAGCUCCUUCGGGAGUGAGUAGAGUGGCGCACGGGUGAGUAACACGUGGAUAAUCUGCCUGAUAAUCUGGGAUAACAUUUCGAAAGGAAUGCUAAUACCGGAUAAGCCCACAGCCUCUUCGGAGGCAGCGGGAAAAGAUGGCCUCUUCUUGAAAGCUAUUGUUAUCAGAUGAGUCCGCGGUCCAUUAGCUAGUUGGUAGGGUAAUGGCCUACCAAGGCGACGAUGGAUAGCUGGUUUGAGAGAAUGAUCAGCCACACUGGAACUGAGACACGGUCCAGACUCCUACGGGAGGCAGCAGUGGGGAAUUUUGCGCAAUGGGGGAAACCCUGACGCAGCAACGCCGCGUGAGUGAUGAAGGUUUUCGGAUCGUAAAGCUCUGUCAAGAGGGAAGAAACCUCCAACGGCUAAUACCUGUUGGAAUUGACGGUACCUCUAGAGGAAGCACCGGCUAACUCCGUGCCAGCAGCCGCGGUAAUACGGAGGGUGCAAGCGUUGUUCGGAAUUAUUGGGCGUAAAGCGCGUGUAGGCGGUUAGUUAAGUCUGAUGUGAAAGCCCCGGGCUCAACCUGGGAAGUGCAUUGGAUACUGGCAAACUUGAGUACGGGAGAGGGAAGUGGAAUUUCGAGUGUAGGGGGUGAAAUCCGUAGAUAUUCGAAGGAACACCAGUGGCGAAGGCGGCUUCCUGGACCGAUACUGACGCUGAGACGCGAAAGCGUGGGGAGCAAACAGGAUUAGAUACCCUGGUAGUCCACGCCGUAAACGAUGGGUACUAGGUGUUGCGGGUAUUGACCCCUGCAGUGCC